AUGAACACUAAUCCUCGAUCAAUAAAGUUGGCAUGUUUGAGUAUUAAGAAAGACCUACUCGGCGGAGCUCGAUCGGCUUCAUCCCGUUCGGUCGUCGGCGACGGCAUCAGGCAAUGUAGGAGAAGGAGUACGACCACAAACACGACACGCGAUUCGAGAUGCGCCACCAUUUACUCCCACGCGAUGCACAGAGAGAGAGCAGUAGCAGGGCGAGGACAACCAGUGCAAUGUCUAGCCGGUCGAGAGCCUCAUCAAAUAAUCCAUCCAAACCCCAGCAAGCCAGCCAGGUCACGGCCACGUGUUGGAGGCCCCCUCUCGGCCUUUCUCUUCUUUUCCAGCCCCAAAUUGUCCCUUUCCAACCUCACACGCCUCCCAGAUUCGCGAGCGCCGGGUGCGCCUAGCAGAACCGGCACCCCGCGAGGGCAUCCCCGUAAUUACCCCGCAGCUCCAGGGGCACUCGCGCCACCGACUCCCGUCCCUGCCUGCCAGACCCCGCUGCCGCUACGUGCACACAGUACUCCUACUACAUAG
rnacentral:rRNA from 1 species